AUUGAACGCUGGCGGAAUGCUUUACACAUGCAAGUCGAGCGGCAGCGCGGGGCAACCUGGCGGCGAGCGGCGAACGGGUGAGUAAUGCAUCGGAACAUGUCCAUGUCGUGGGGGAUAGCCCGGCGAAAGCCGGAUUAAUACCGCAUAAGCCCGAGAGGGGAAAGUGGGGGACCGCAAGGCCUCACGCGAUUGGGUUGGCCGAUGUCCGAUUAGCUAGUUGGCGGGGUAAGAGCCCACCAAGGCGAUGAUCGGUAGCUGGUCUGAGAGGAUGAUCAGCCACACUGGGACUGAGACACGGCCCAGACUCCUACGGGAGGCAGCAGUGGGGAAUUUUGGACAAUGGGGGCAACCCUGAUCCAGCCAUUCCGCGUGAGUGAAGAAGGCCUUCGGGUUGUAAAGCUCUUUUGUCCGGAACGAAACGGGUAGGUCUAAUAAGCCUGCCUACUGACGGUACCGGAAGAAUAAGCACCGGCUAACUACGUGC
rnacentral:rRNA from 1 species